CCGCUAUCUCAAGUAGCUUGUUGGCUGC
rnacentral:sRNA from 1 species